rnacentral:rRNA from 1 species
AGAGCGAACGCUGGCGGCAGGCUUAACACAUGCAAGUCGAGCGCCCCGCAAGGGGAGCGGCAGACGGGUGAGUAACACGUGGGAACGUACCCUUUGGUUCGGAACAACCCAGGGAAACUUGGGCUAAUACCGGAUAAGUCCGUAAGGAGAAAGAUUUAUCGCCAAAGGAUCGGCCCGCGUCUGAUUAGCUAGUUGGUAGGGUAAUGGCCUACCAAGGCUACGAUCAGUAGCUGGUCUGAGAGGAUGAUCAGCCACAUUGGGACUGAGACACGGCCCAAACUCCGUACGGGAGGCAGCAGGU